UACAGAGGUCUCAAGCGUUGUUCGGAUUCAUUGGGCGUAAAGGGUGCGUAGGCGGCGCGGUAAGUCGGGGGUGAAAUCUCGGAGCUUAACUCCGAAACUGCAUUCGAUACUGCCGUGCUUGAGGACUGGAGAGGAGACUGGAAUUUACGGUGUAGCGGUGAAAUGCGUAGAUAUCGUAAGGAAGACCAGUGGCGAAGGCGGGUCUCUGGACAGUUCCUGACGCUGAGGCGCGAAGGCCAGGGGAGCAAACGGG
rnacentral:rRNA from 1 species